UACGUAGGCAGCGAGCGUUGUUCGGAGUUACUGGGCGUAAAGAGUGUGUAGGCGGUGUUCCAAGUCUGGUGUGAAAUCUCCCGGCUUAACUGGGAGGGUGCAUUAGAAACUGGAAUGCUAGAGGAUGGGAGAGGUAAGCGGAAUUCCUGGUGUAGCGGUGAAAUGCGUAGAUAUCAGGAGGAACACCUGUGGUGUAGACAGCUUACUGGACCAUUUCUGACGCUGAGACACGAAAGCGUGGGUAGCAAACAGG
rnacentral:rRNA from 1 species